UAACAAGGAUUCCCCUAGUAACUGCGAGUGAAGCGGGAAAAGCUCAAAUUUAAAAUCUGGCGGUUUUGGCCGUCCGAGUUGUAGUCUGGAGAAGUGCUUUCUGUGCUGGACCGUGUACAAGUCUCUUGGAACAGAGCGUCAUAGAGGGUGAGAAUCCCGUCUUUGACACGGACUACCAGUGCUUUGUGAUGCGCUCUCAAAGAGUCGAGUUGUUUGGGAAUGCAGCUCAAAAUGGGUGGUGAAUUCCAUCUAAAGCUAAAUAUUGGCGAGAGACCGAUAGCGAACAAGUACCGUGAGGGAAAGAUGAAAAGCACUUUGGAAAGAGAGUUAAACAGUACGUGAAAUUGCUAAAAGGGAAACGCUUGAAGUCAGUCGCGUUGUCCGAAACUCAGCCUUGCCUUGGCUUGGUGUAUUUUUCGGUUAACGGGUCAGCAUCGAUUUUGACCGAUGGAUAAAGGUCAGGGGAAUGUGGCACCUUCGGGUGUGUUAUAGCCUCUGAUUGUAUACAUCGGUUGGGAUCGAGGAACUCAGCUUCGGCUUAGGAUGCUGGCAUAAUGGCUUUAAACGAC
rnacentral:rRNA from 1 species